AUAUAACAAAAAUAUAGUGUUAGUGUAACCAUAUGAGAUAUGACAUCAGUUGCUUCAAAAUCUGCAUUUAGCGCAGGAGGUCGAGUGCUUGAUUCAUUUAGAAGUUCAUUAUCACCUAAAACAGUGAAAGCUUUGGUUUGUUGUGCAAGUUGGUUGAAAGAUGAUAGUCAAGAGAAAAAGGUUGAUCUUGAAGAAGAAAAUUUGAAUGUUGUUAUUCUGACGGUUCUUAAUUCUACUAUAUGAAAAGAUUCAUUCUCAUGCAAGUUUGUUGUAAAGUUUCAGAUUUUCAGCUUACUUUUGAGAUUUAACUUCAAGAGAAUUAGAGGAGGACUUUUUAUUUUGUUUCAUCCAAUGCAAUUUUAAACUAACAGGUUACAAUAACUAUUUCGAAUUUUAAACCAGUCGAGCUCGAGCAACAUGUAAAACGAGCCGAUCCCAAACAAUACUAAUCCUUAACGAGCCGAGCUCAAACAAAAAAUCUCAUGUUCGAAACAAGCUCGAGCCGAGCCUGAACACUCUUAAUAUGUAAACAAGCCGAGCCGAGCCCUGGCAAGCUUGGCUCGUUCGGCUUGAUUUACAGGCCUACCCCAUACUCAGUAAUGUCAUAAAUAAAAUAAUUUCUUAUUAAGAAUUAAUUAAACAUAGUAUGUUUUU